GGGUGGAUCAGUAUGAACAAGGAAGCCCCGUUCAAGAAGAAGAUGAACAAAAGCGUCUUCUGGUCACAGUCUGGAACCAAGAGAGAAACUCCAGAC
rnacentral:lncRNA from 1 species